UGGGGAAUUUUGGAUCAAUGGGCGAAAGGCCUGAAUCCAGCAAUGCCGCGUGUGUGAAGAAGGCCUUCGGGUUGUAAAGCACUUUUGUCCGGAAAGAAAUCCUUGGCUCUAAUACAGUCGGGGGAUGACGGUACCGGAAGAAUAAGCACCGGCUAACUACGUGCCAGCAGCCGCGGUAAUACGUAGGGUGCAAGCGUUAAUCGGAAUUACUGGGCGUAAAGCGUGCGCAGGCGGUUUGCUAAGACCGAUGUGAAAUCCCCGGGCUCAACCUGGGAACUGCAUUGGUGACUGGCAGGCUAGAGUAUGGCAGAGGGGGGUAGAAUUCCACGUGUAGCAGUGAAAUGCGUAGAGAUGUGGAGGAAUACCGAUGGCGAAGGCAGCCCCCUGGGCCAAUACUGACGCUCAUGCACGAAAGCGUGGGGAGCAAACAGGAUUAGAUACCCUGGUAGUCCACGCCCUAAACGAUGUCAACUAGUUGUUGGGGAUUCAUUUCCUUAGUAACGUAGCUAACGCGUGAAGUUGACCGCCUGGGGAGUACGGUCGCAAGAUUAAAACUCAAAGGAAUUGACGGGGUCAUAGCUGUUUCCU
rnacentral:rRNA from 1 species